AGAUGAACGCUGGGGCUCCACAAAUCCAGGUAGGGAGGGGGCCAAGGUCUGGCCUGCUGAGCAGGGCACAACCGGCAAAUGAGAGGCAUGGAGAGUGAGGGAGCUGAAGCCCAAGUCAUGAUCCAGUGGAGGGGCAGGCACGGAGCUGGCAGGCGGUGGCGCCAGCGCAGGGCUGGGCGCCGCGGGUCCAGCGUUGGAGAGACUGGGAUGGGGCUGGUGACUCCGGCCCGCCUGAGGACAGAGAUGGAGGCCGAUAAGUAAACCGAGGUUCAAAGAGGCCCUGGAACCACCUGCAACGAUCCUGGGAUUCAUCAGGGGUCUAAGCCGAGGAGCCACCUCCACUGGGAUGCCUUCCCUGCUGCAACCCACUCCACACCACCCUUGCUUUUCCUUGCAGAACCUUGGAUCACACCUGACUCUGGCUAUUCCGAUGUCAUCUCCAUCUCCUGGAGACAGUUGCUGCAUGAGAACAAAGGCAGGGCCCAGACCAGGUCUGGAGGGAUAAGUGACAGGGAUAUGGGCACUGAGCUGAGGCACUGGGCAGGCAGAGCCACUGCCCUUACCCCUACCAUGAACCCCUAGAGAGAGGCUGCUAGAACCUUCAUUUCUAAGGAGCAGGAGAGUGUGGCUACCCUGCCUCUAAUUAUUCCUCCAUAGGCACACAGGCCUUCUCUCCACCCAGGGAGCACACAUCUGCCAAGAGCAGCCCUGCCCCCACACCAGGCUCUCCAGCAGUGAGGAGCUGGGCUGGGCUGUCCUCACCCGCCCUCCUGGUUCUUCCCUGGCCCUGCCUGGGGAUGCCAGGACCCACAGCAGGUGCCUGGAAAGGCUUGGGGAUGAAGAGGGGCCUGGGCACAAAAGGCCACCCUCUGGCCAAGAGCAGAACUUAAAACAAAUUCCAGAAUCCUCUUCGUCCUCCUUUUCCCCGCCCACUCUUUAGUUCUGUUAAUAAUAACAGCUACCAUUUACCAGGCACCUAAUGUCUUUCUUUGCACAGUAUUUGAUACUGUAUGUGCAUUGUUUGUUUAAUCCUAAAUCAAUCCUGACGCAUAGGUAUUACCCUCCUCAUCUUUCUGAUGAGGAAAUAGAAAUUCAGAGAGGCUAUAUCCCUUGUCCAAAGUCAGUGUUGGACUGGUCAGUGGCAGAGCCAAGAUUCACACCCCACAUCUUUCCAUGCCCUUGUCCUCCAAUGCUGACCCCAGGUGCUGCUCUCCUCGCCCUAGGUGGUGACUCUCUGCUAUACGUCUGCCUCCCACAUUAGCUUGAGAGCUGUGGGAUAGCAAGGGCUGUCCCGUCCUCUCAGUGGCCCCAGUGAAGGAAUGAAGGAAUGCUUGUAGAAUAUUACCUUGGCUGUUAGAGGGCACAGCAUGGUAGUUACACACAUGGGCUCAGAAGCCCAAGUGCUGGGGUUCAAAUCUCAGCUCUUACUUCCUUUAUGACCUUGAGACACUAGUAUUUCUGUCUCAAUUUUCUCAUCUGUAAAAUGGACAUGAUAGUGAAUGCUGGUAUUGAGGAGACUGAGUUAGGAAAAGUUCCUGUCCUAUAGUAAGUACUGCCUGUGUUAGAUAAGAUGCAGUGUCUCCCUCCAGACUAGAUGGGGGCCCGGUCCCACUCUCUGCUUGCAUCCCCAGCACUUAGCACAGGGUUUGCCUGGAGUAGGUCCUUCCCUUCCUCAUCUAUAAAAUAUUACUAAAAAUACCCACCUGGCAAGAUUAAGGAGAUGUAUAUAAACUGCCUGGCACAGGGCAGAAGUUGGCAUCAGUAGUAGCACCAGUGGAGGGUGGGCUAUUGGUAGGAUAAUGGGGAGGGAGGGGGAGGGAGGGGUAGAGCCAGGUUAGGCUCUUCUGAAUGCCCCAUUUUUGGAUCCAGAGGCAGAGUCUUCACCCAGUGUCCUCCUCUUGCCCAUGUACCAUUCAGGCCCUGGUACAGAGGACACAUAGGACCUUACUCAGAUGGUGGCCUCUCCACCAUGUGGAGAAACCCCCAUGCCAGAGGGUACCCUGGGUCUAAAGUGCCUCCUCUUCGCCUCUUCUAGACCUUUCCCCAAGGGACUGGCAGCUUUGUGUUUUGAGAAUGGAGCCAGCUGGACAGGGAGGCACCCAGGAGAUCAUCCCAAGCCAAACUUAUUUAGGAGUGGAAUUCUGUCUUCAGAUAAAUUCUUAGGUGAAACCCUGAUAUGUAAAGCAGACAGAGGCAUUAUUUUGUGCCAUAAAUUAAUGUAUAAGUUCAUGUAGAUAACUGUUAUUUCUUUAU